ACAAGCAGUGGAGUAUGUGGUUUAAUUCGAUGAUACGCGAGGAACCUUACCCGGGCUUGAAAUGCAUCUGACGUAGGCAGAGACGUCUAUUCCCUUCGGGGCAGAUGUGUAGGUGCUGCAUGGUUGUCGUCAGCUCGUGCCGUGAGGUGUCGGCUUAAGUGCCAUAACGAGCGCAACCCUCAUCAUUAGUUACCAACAGGUCAAGCUGGGGACUCUAGUGAGACUGCCAUCGUAAGAUGUGAGGAAGGUGGGGAUGACGUCAAAUCAGCACGGCCCUUACGUCCGGGGCGACACACGUGUUACAAUGGGUGGUACAAAGGGCAGCUACCUGGCGACAGGAUGCUAAUCUCGAAAACCACUCUCAGUUCGGAUCGGAGUCUGCAACUCGACUCCGUGAAGCUGGAUUCGCUAGUAAUCGCGCAUCAGCCAUGGCGCGGUGAAUACGUUCCCGGGCCUU
rnacentral:rRNA from 1 species